AAAACUUAUAAUUAUUUACCCUUAAAAAAAAGAACAAAAACAAUUUAAGGGCAUUUAAUCCUAAUCAUUUUGAUUCAACAAGCAUUUUUGUAAAUUAAAUUAACAAAUAUAAGUUAAAAACCUCAAUGAGCAAAUCAAUAUUCAGUGAGCAAAUAAAUCCAACCCCAAAAAAAAAAAAAUGUGGCCAUCCUAGACAGUAAGUCUCCUUUUAUGAGAAGCCUCCUCAUUUUGCCGUGUGGUCUCAGAAACAUCUUCAUUUUCAGCUUUUACCGCAGUUCCAUCUUCUUUGCUCAAAAUUGUGUUCUUAGUGUGGCUUUUUGAAGCAGAUUUUGAUACCCAUAAUGUACUUUUUAAUCUAUGAAUCAGUCCCAUUCCAAUACCGAUAUUUUUCUUACUUCUGGGACUGUCCUCGUGUGAAGACCCUCCUGUUUUUGCACCUCUAACACCUAGUCUGAAACCAGCAAAAGAAGUUGAUCCUCUUUCGCCUCUUUCUAUCUUAGCAUCCCUCGAACCAUAAUGAAAACUCGCAGACCUAGAUGAACCCAUCACACUCCUUUCUUCCCUUUCUAGCUUCCGUCUCCUCAACCCCAGAAUGCUUCUUUCCUUCUCUGACCCAACCAAAAGCUUCUUCUCCAUCAGACUUGUUUCCUUCUCAGAUUUCUGCAAAAGCUUCUUCAUCCCAGCCAACUCUUUCUCCAAGCCUUCAAUACGUGAGUUCGUGGCGUCCAUUUCCUCUUUGAGUUGAGCUGCUUCUCGUACAGCUGCAUCCCGUUGAAGGAUUGAGCCAAGGGUGAUGACCUCAUUCUCCUCGUGAUGUUGGGGUGCACAGUGGUUGGUGGCAGCUGCAGUGCAGGUGAAGAUUGCACGGCGGGUAUUUAGCUGUUCAAUCAACAUGGCUCGGACAAUGAAUCGUAAUGGGAGUCUAGGAUUCUGCACUGCAUGAAUGAGAAGCUGAGGAGAGAGCUUUUCACAGUCAAUGAAAUUGCAUAUCUCCAUCUUCUGCUCUUCUGUUAUCUUCCCACUAUGUUCCUGUGCUCAAAAUCAAACCCAUCAAAAUGAAGCAAGAGAAUAGAUAGAAAUCUACAGAUCAAUACUUGCAAAUAGCAAGUUACCUGGAUGUAAAGAUCGACAAUCCUGUACAGCACGUCGUGGCAAGUAAACCUGAAAUGCAUCGUCUCUGCUACGAUUUCAAACUCGUCAGCGGCCAAAUCUAUAAUAUCGUCGAUAACUCUGUCCAUCUCGCUUCCAUCAUCGCUCAAAGCUUCCACGC
rnacentral:misc_RNA from 1 species